CAGCAGCCGCGGGAAUACAGAGGGUGCGAGCGUUAAUCGGAUUUACUGGGCGUAAAGCGUGCGUAGGCGGCUAAUUGAGUCGGAUGUGAAAUCCCCGAGCUUAACUUGGGAAUUGCAUUCGAUACUGGUUAGCUAGAGUGUGGGAGAGGAUGGUAGAAUUCCAGGUGUAGCGGUGAAAUGCGUAGAGAUCUGGAGGAAUACCGAUGGCGAAGGCAGCCAUCUGGCCUAACACUGACGCUGAGGUACGAAAGCAUGGGGAGCAAACAGGAUUAGAGACCCCGGUAGUCCCUGUCUCUUAUAA
rnacentral:rRNA from 1 species